UACGAAGGGGGCUAGCGUUGUUCGGAAUUACUGGGCGUAAAGCGCACGUAGGCGGACAUUUAAGUCAGGGGUGAAAUCCCAGAGCUCAACUCUGGAACUGCCUUUGAUACUGGGUGUCUUGAGUAUGGAAGAGGUGAGUGGAAUCCGAGUGUAGAGGUGAAAUUCGUAGAUAUUCGGAGGAACACCAGUGGCGAAGGCGGCUCACUGGUCCAUUA
rnacentral:rRNA from 1 species